CACGCACAGCUACUAGAAGAUUUACAUCUGUCAGACAGGUUGCUGACGUCGUCAAGCUUCGUUUGAGUCUGCGCAUCAGAACCGGAAGUGCUAAAAAACGCUAAAACUGGGCUUCAUUUGUCUCAAUUGAGUUCCAAUGGGGUCGCUGUGUCCAUUUCUUUUACUGUCUAUGUACAGAUACAGUCAGCAGCGUUCACUAUUGGUGUAUUGGUGUACCGGGAUGCCGGUCGUUUGGCCGUCAAAAUAAAGAGAAUACGUCAUUUCACAAAUUUCCACAGGACAGAGAACUUCAGAAAAAGUGUAUAAAAAUGUUAAAAUUCAACGGAAAUUGGACCUAACCUUCAGGCAACAAUAUUGCAUUUAUGGAAAAAAAGGACUGUGUACACUAACGUUAACCUUUGGGCUAAACGCUAAAUUCUAACAUUACAGAGAACACACGAGUGUGCUCGAAUCAUUUCUCUCCGGGAUGUUUUUCAAGAAGAACACUGACUGGAAUCAGGAAGCUAAAGGGAAGUUCAGUUCCCUCCGUGUUUACCUGGACUCAACAGCCACACCAAAGGAAAACCUUGCGAUCCUCAGUGAAAAAUAUCUAUUCUUCAAAUGAUGUUAUAUAGAUUAAAAUAAUUAAUUUGAGAUUAGAGCGUACAGCUAGAUCAUAAGCACCUUUCAUACAUUUACAUGAAAUAAAGAUAAACAUGUCAAGUCUCACAAAA